CUUUGGCUGGCAGGGACCCACAUUACUUUUCCUUAGAGGCUACUAACUAGAAUUAAUCACAUAGCCUCACCUAACUACAGAUGGUCUGAAAAAUGUAGAGAGACACAUGGGAUAUUUGCUGAACAAUACUGUCUUUAUACUGGGAGAAGAUAAAUGGCAAACAAAUGAAUGACUACCACAACAUCAGAUCAUAGUACAUGCCUUGAAAGGAAAAAGUGAGGAGAGAAAAACUGGGGGUAGAGACUACUGUGGGAUGAAUUGUGCCCCCACCCCCACAUUGAAGCUCUAACCCCCAGGAUCUCAGAAUGCAACUAUAUUUGGGAAAAGGGAAUUUUAAAAUGUAAUUGAGUUAAAAUGGGGUGAUUAGAGUGGGUUCUAAUCUGAUACGAUUGAUGUCCUCAUAAGAGGAGAAAAUUAGGACACAGAAAAUACACAGAGAUGGUGGCUAUAUAAGGAUACCUCCCUAGGACAGCCACCUGCCAGCCAAGGAGAAAGGCCUCAGAAUGAAACCAAACACGCCAAUACCUUGAUCUUGGACAUUUAGCUUCCAGAACUAUGAAGAAAUAUGUGUCUAUUGUUUAAGCCACAUAGUCUGUGGUGUUUGUUACAACAGCUGUAGCAAACUAGUACAGAGAGUAUUUCAAAGAAGUGGUGAGUAAUCCCAACACUCAGGAGUCUGGGCAGGAGGAUCACGAGUUUGAGGCAGGCCUGGGCUAAACAGUGAGUUCAAGGUCAGUGUGAACUACAUAGCAAGACCCUGUUUCAAGCAAGCAGACAGGCAGACAGACAAACGGGUGUGGGGGGCUGGUAAGUAGAGAAGGCCUUCUGGAGAACUGAUAUUUUAGCAGAUGUCUUUAAAGAUGAGCCAUGAAGAUUGCAGGUGGUGAAGUCUGGACUAAGCACACAACACAUGCAAAGGCCUUGGGGUGAGAACGGUUUGGUGUGUGUCGGUCUCCUGAGACCAUCAGAAACACACCUGUGAAGUAAGUUGGAUAAAUCCGACUCAUGAAGCGAGGCAAGAUAUCAUACCGCAAGGAAUAGUGCAGCAUCUCAGCAAGAAGCUAUCAGAAGAGACUUACAGGAUUUGGGCUCUGUCAUGUGGUUUGGGGAAGAGUUCAAAGAGGUGGGAAGUCGCUCUGGAUUGGGUGCUGCCACAAAUGGGACUAAUUCUAUCUUAUCUAAAAGACGUAAUUGCAGAAUGCACUUACUUUUGCACUGACUCAUAGUCACAGAGAGAGGCUGAUGAUGUCCUGUGAGAAAUGCUGAUGCUCAGCAG
rnacentral:lncRNA from 1 species